UACAGAGGUGGCAAGCGUUGUUCGGAAUUACUGGGCGUAAAGGGCGCGUAGGCGGUCUUCUAAGUCUUGUGUGAAAUCCCUCGGCUCAACUGAGGAACUGCACGGGAUACUGGAAGACUUGAGUUCGGGAGAGGGAAGCGGAAUUCCGGGUGUAGCGGUGAAAUGCGUAGAUAUCCGGAGGAACACCGGUGGCGAAGGCGGCUUCCUGGACCGAUCACUGACGCUGAGGCGCGAAAGCUAGGGGAGCGAACGGG
rnacentral:rRNA from 1 species